CGAACCCGGGCGGGAGAGUCCCGUGUCCCGACCCCGCUGAGGGGGGCGAGGACGACGGGCGCCGGAGGAGCAAGCACCCCGCCAAUCUCUCAGGCACCCACACCGCUCGGGCGAG
rnacentral:ncRNA from 1 species